CUGUGUUCUGCAACUUCAUUCUUGACCAAGUGGUUGUAGUAUGAUUUAACCAUGAAGGAUCCAUUAUUCUUUAGGUUCCAUAAUGCUUGAUCAUUGUUUUCGGUUAGGUUGACAAGGGAAACUAUACUUAUGAGAGGACUGUGAUAUUCUUUACAUUAUCUCUGCACAACUCCUCUACUGUGGUAUUCAUGAAUCGUGCUAUAGAAUAAAUCUGAAAAAAUUAGUCUUUGAGUACUCUCCCUCUAUCCCCCCCCCCUCAAACAUACGCUUCACUUGAUGCAUUCCUGGAAUCUUUGUUUACCAAUGCUGAUUUUUCUCCACAUCCCCACCCCAUGAGAUCUUGCCACCUCUCUUGAAAACCAACCCUUAUCCACAGUCCCGAACCUUGUCUCAAUCAGUCUCCACCAUAAAGUACUGUCUCCUUCAUGAACCUCCAUAGCCAUUUCCCUUAUAGACCCAUAUUCAUGUCUACAAAAGAUCUCAUCCCAGAACCCCUUGGGACAUUGAUUUUUUGACCUCAUCCUACGUCACCAAAUGGUACUACUUCUAAUCACUCUAAAGAAACUACAUUGAAUAGAUUCCUGUUUCUUAUCCACUUUUACCAAGAUUGUCAAAAGAGACAUAUAAUAAAUGGAUAGACUAGCCAACAUACUUUUAAUAAGUGUCAAUCUCCCACCCUUGGAUAAAAGGUUUCUCUUCCAACCCCCUAACCUUCUUUCAAGCCUUUCAACCACUGGAUCUCGCGUCCUCACAUCUUUGUAAUUCUACCAUUUUACAUCGUAUCUCUCCAAUAGCCCAGACUCACCAACU
rnacentral:lncRNA from 1 species